rnacentral:rRNA from 1 species
UUUUUUAGUUUGUUUUUAUGUUAUUUUUUGUAAAAUGUUUUAGUUUUUUUUUGUUUUGUUGUGAUAUCAAAAAUUUGUUUUUUGAACUGGAUUAGUACCCAGGUAAUCAAAGUUUAAUAAUUCGGGAGUAAAGUUUUGUUUAAACCGAAAAAAUAUUGACUGACUUUARAUUUUUCUUUGGAAUAUGUGAUUUGCUGGARAGCCCUCUUUCUUGGUGAGUUUUAUUGGCACAUGUAUGAUUGUUUAGUUUUUAUUUUAUUUUGUAAUGCUUUUUUGUUUUGGCAUUUAAAACARAUAUAUAUUUGGCUUAUGAGUUCAUGUUUCAUGUGUUACUAUUAUGAAUUUUUUUUGGAUAAUUUUUUUAUUUUUUUUUGAAAUUGGAAAAAAAAGUAAUUUUUUCUUUAUGUUUUAAUGAAUUU